UACGUAGGGUGCGAGCGUUGUCCGGAAUUAUUGGGCGUAAAGAGCUCGUAGGCGGCUUGUCGCGUCGGAUGUGAAAGCCCGGGGCUUUAACUCCGGGUCUGCAUUCGAUACGGGCAGGCUAGAGUUCGGUAGGGGAGAUCGGAAUUCCUGGUGUAGCGGUGAAAAUGCGCAGAUAUCAGGAGGAACACCGGUGGCGAAGGCGGAUCUCUGGGCCGAUACUGACGCUGAGGGAGCGAAAGCGUGGGGGAGCGAACAGG
rnacentral:rRNA from 1 species